rnacentral:rRNA from 1 species
CCGAGCUUGCUUGGGAGAGUAAAGUGGCGCACGGGUGAGUAACGCGUAGGCAACCUACCUUUAAGUUUGGAAUAAUCUCGGGAAACUGGGACUAAUACCGAAUAAGGUAUUCAUGCAUAAGUGUGGAUAUUAAAGUGGCUUCGGCCACGCUUUUGGAUGGGCCUGCGUCUGAUUAGCUUGUUGGUGAGGUAAUGGCUUACCAAGGCUACGAUCAGUAGCUGGUCUGAGAGGAUGAUCAGCCACACUGGGACUGAGAUACGGCCCAGACUCC